rnacentral:rRNA from 1 species
AUGCACGCUGGCGGCGUGCCUAAUACCUGCCAGUCGAGCGAACAGAUCAGGAGCUUGCUCCUUUGACGUUAGCGGCGGACGGGUGAGUUACACGUGGAUAACCUACCUAUAAGACUGGGAUAACUUCGGGAAACCGGAGCUAAUACCGGAUAACAUAUUGAACCGCAUGGUUCAAUAGUGAAAGGCGGCUUUGCUGUCACUUAUAGAUGGAUCCGCGCCGUAUUAGCUAGUUGGUAAGGUAACGGCUUACCAAGGCAACGAUACGUAGCCGACCUGAGAGGGUGAUCGGCCACACUGGAACUGAGACACGGUCCAGACUCCUACGGGAGGCAGCAGUAGGGAAUCUUCCGCAAUGGGCGAAAGCCUGACGGAGCAACGCCGCGUGAGUGAUGAAGGUCUUCGGAUCGUAAAACUCUGUUAUCAGGGAAGAACAAAUGUGUAAGUAACUGUGCACAUCUUGACGGUACCUGAUCAGAAAGCCACGGCCAACUACGUG